rnacentral:rRNA from 1 species
CACGUAGGGGGCAAGCGUUGUCCGGAAUUAUUGGGCGUAAAGAGCUCGUAGGCGGUCUGUCGCGUCUGCUGUGAAAACUCGGGGCUUAACCCCGGGCCUGCAGUGGGUACGGGCAGACUAGAGUGCGGUAGGGGAGACUGGAAUUCCUGGUGUAGCGGUGAAAUGCGCAGAUAUCAGGAGGAACACCGGUGGCGAAGGCGGGUCUCUGGGCCGUAACUGACGCUGAGGAGCGAAAGCAUGGGGAGCGAACAGG